AUUUCCAUGCUGUUGGUGUAGUCUAUAAGUGCACAUGCUUUUGAAGCUCUUGCUUUGCUGCUCUGUUCUUGACGUGUUGUUGCUGAAUUGUGGCACACUUUAAACUUGUAGAGAGGAAGACUUCUUUUUUUUUUCCACGGCGCCUGCAGUCCUGACUCAUUCACACUCCGAGGUGACAUUUCACUUAUUAAUAGCACAUACAUAGAGUUUGUUUCAUGCUGCCUCUUUGCUCUCUGAAACAUUCACCAGGAGACCAACUUAACUUAUUCAUAAAUGCAAUUUGAGAGAUGAGUUUGCUGAAUUUUAAUAGUAAGCAUUAGAUGUUGCAGCUGGGAGGUGGAGCUUCUCUGUUUGUGGAUGGGAGGUGGAUACUGUUUGUGUCAGGACAGUGCAUGCUGUGCUGUGUUUGUUGCGUCACUGACAUCUCUGGCACUGGGUAGGUAUGAGUAAUGGGCUUGUGACGGCAGACAGGAGGUGGGACUGUGGGCGGGAGACAUUAACUUAAAUAAACUCGCACAGAGAGUCACGACUGGCUGAAUCGGAUCUCAAGGGAACAUGACACUGUUUGAACUACAGCUACAAGACUUUGUAGUCAUGUGAGCAAAUAGCAUUAACAGAAUGUCUUGGACAACACUUCUCUCUGUAAUUUAACUACUAUAGGGAUGUUUCUCUUGAGGAUUUUUUCACUCUGUCGGAUUUUACCUUAAAUACCUAAAAUUACCUAAAACACAAUAGUUCACAGAUGCGAACUCAUAGAUGCAAAUAAAACAGUGACAAAGAUGUAGUUGAUUCUGUUUUCUUCUUUGUUGCAUUUCCAUCUUUAAGUCGGUCCAUCAGUAGAAAAUGUUCAUGCUGGCUCUCUUUCCCCUUCUUGGGUUAACUCUGAUUCUUGACAGACUGGUUGGUAGUUGGGGGGUGCGUGUGAAAGCAUAUUUGAUACAGCCUGCUGCACUUACACAAGCAUCAUCUUCCCAUGCCAGCUGGUAGCUUCCCUUCUACCUUACAAUGUGUAUGCUUUACAAAAAGUGCUAAAAUCUUCUGCUGGUAAUUUCCUCAUGUAGUGGAAUUUUACAUUUCACAGGACAGUUGUACUAAAUAGUAGGGACGAAACAUAUCAUUUUGACGACAAUAGACCUUUUUCGCAAAAACCGGAAGUACGUCAUCAACGUGUAAACCUAGUUCCGGUUUGUGCUUCGCUGACAGAGGAAUGGCAGAGCCUAGAGUGUUUUCGAAGAGCCUGAGUUGUGUUCCGAAGUUCACCAGCACCGAUGUGAUGAGGAGUGUAAAGAUGCAUUCGUCCACUAAAGGAAACAAAUUGGACAAGGGAUAUAAAUUCGUCCACGAAGAGUUUAUCCACCAUUACCAAGAUAUCGCUGGAUGCAUUAAGUGCCAACCUGAAAGCUUUCUCCUGCAGUUGUGCGGCUGCUAAAGGAUUCUGCAAUGACAUCCUUUUGCCAUCCUGUUCCAGAGCGCACAUUAUUCACAGCUGGUUUGCAGGCUGCUCCACCCACCCUGUCCUGCACGAGUGACUUGCAAAGACGGCACAGACCAAGAGCACAGGGAAUCCAUCCUGAACCGGUUAGUGAGCUGGUGGUGCAAAGGCCCAAAAC